rnacentral:rRNA from 1 species
GAUGAACGCUAGCGAUAGGCUUAACACAUGCAAGUCGAGGGACCGGCGCACGGGUGCGUAACGCGUAUGCAACUCGCCUCACAGAGGGGGCUAACCCGUCGAAAGACGGACUAAUACCGCGUACUGUGAGAUAGGCAUGCGUCCCAUUAGCUAGUUGGUGAGGUAACGACUCACCAAGGCAACGAUGGGUAGGGGAACUGAGAGGUUGAACCCCGAGACUGGUACUGAGACACGGACCAGACUCCUACGGGAGGCAGCAGUGAGGAAGAAUGGUCAAUGGGCGAGAGCAUGAACCAGCCAAGUCGCGUGAAGGAUGACUGUCUAUGGAUUGUAAACUUCUUUUGUAGGAGAAUAUGUACCCUACGAAUAAGCAUCGGCUAACUCCGUGCCAGCCGCCGCGGUAAUAC